rnacentral:lncRNA from 1 species
UUCGCGGUAGUUUAAGGCAGGACGUCUAGCAGAGAUACCGGAGUAAAGCGAAAGGGAAAGACGAAAAAGGACGGAGCCGAACAAGGGGCAACCGCGGAUCGGUCCUGCGUUCCCUCCGGCAACUCCCGGGCAGUAUUUCCUCCGCACCCCGGCUCCCCGCCCUCAUAAAAUCCUCACAUUUCCGUUCCCCCUUUAGGCCAGAGGGGACAGGGCGCUACUGACCGCCAAGCGGUUUCGAUCCCCUUUAAAGUCCGCUUUUCCCCAUGCUCCCACCUCGCAUUCAAAGUAAGAAAACGGCAACAAUCUGCAUUUUCUUCAAGAAAGGCAAAUAUUGCCCCGUAUGUGCGCGCUCGCCUGCAAAGAGGCAGAUACAGUCACUGCAGUGCCGCUUCCAGCACCAGCCCCGGCCGCCAGAAAACGCCCACUGGCGGAGCCAGCGCUUCCCAGGCCCCCUCCCUCCCUUCUCCCUCCCUUCUCCCUCCCUUCCUCUCACUGCUAGGCGCGCACUCGGGAGCUACGGCACAGCGGUUACCUAAAGGGAAAGCAGGGAGAAACACGAGGAAAAGAUCCUCCUUAUGCGGUGUCAUUAUUUUAAACAUAUGUUUCCAGCUGCUGAGAUCAAAAGGCAGACGCCCUGCUGUGCCUGGGCUGGAGACGCUAGAGAGCUGCCCCUUCGUUUCUGUGGGGCAUCCAACACCAUUUCUACACGAAAAUGAGCAGACCCUCCCCGACGCUCAGCAUCACUUGUGUUUGCUUUGGCUCCCCCCCGCUUUUCCCACCACUUGGCACACUGACAUCCACCCAGCCCUCAACCCCAGUCCUCCGGCUCCCCGGAGACUGCCUCAGACCCUGCUCUCAGGUGCAAUGUGGCUCCGGGGCUGCCACCGGCCUUGCUCCGCAAGCACGGGCACCGUCGCUCGCCAGCGGAGCCUGUCACCCUGGCCAGCCGCCAUCUCGACCCCGCGUUGGGGUCCCCGGGCAUUCGGGGUCCCGCCCCGCCGCCUCACCCCGCCAUUCCGGC